rnacentral:rRNA from 1 species
CGAACGCUGGCGGCAGGCCUAACACAUGCAAGUCGAGCGCACUCUUCGGAGUGAGCGGCGGACGGGUUAGUAACGCGUGGGAACAUACCCUUUUCUACGGAAUAGCCUCGGGAAACUGAGAGUAAUACCGUAUACGCCCUUCGGGGGAAAGAUUUAUCGGAGAAGGAUUGGCCCGCGUUAGAUUAGAUAGUUGGUGGGGUAAUGGCCUACCAAGUCUACGAUCUAUAGCUGGUUUGAGAGGAUGAUCAGCAACACUGGGACUGAGACACGGCCCAGACUCCUACGGGAGGCAGCAGUGGGGAAUCUUAGACAAUGGGCGCAAGCCUGAUCUAGCCAUGCCGCGUGAGUGACGAAGGCCUUAGGGUCGUAAAGCUCUUUCGCCAGAGAUGAUAAUGACAGUAUCUGGUAAAGAAACCCCGGCUAACUCC